rnacentral:rRNA from 1 species
GUCGCACGAGAACGCUUUAGCUUGCUAGAGCUAGUAAAGUGCCUUCACGGGUGAGUAACGCGUGGGUAAUCUACCCUUGAAUCGGGGAUAACAUCGCGAAAGUGAUGCUAAUACCGGAUAAUGUCCCGGGGACUUCGGUUCCUGGUAUCAAAGGUGGCCUCUACAUGUAAGCUACUGUUUGGGGAUGAGCCCGCGUACCAUUAGCUUGUUGGUAGGGUAAUGGCCUACCAAGGCAACGAUGGUUAGCUGGUCUGAGAGGAUGAUCAGCCACACUGGAACUGACACACGGUCCAGACUCCUACGGGAGGCAGCAGUGAGGAAUUUUGCGCAAUGGGGGAAACCCUGACGCAGCAACGCCGCGUGAGUGAAGAAGGCUUUCGGGUCGUAAAGCUCUGUCAAGUGGGAAGAACCCGCCUUGACGUAAUAUGUCUUGGCGCUGACGGUACCACUGAAGGAAGCACCGGCUAACUCCGUGCCAGCAGCCGCGGUAAUACGGGGGGUGCAAGCGUUAUUCGGAAUCAUUGGGCGUAAAGAGCGCGUAGGCGGUCUUGUAAGUCAGAUGUGAAAGCCCGGGGCUCAACCCCGGAAGUGCAUUUGAUACUGCAGGACUUGAGUAUGGGAGAGGGAAGUGGAAUUCCUGGUGUAGAGGUGAAAUUCGUAGAUAUCAGGAGGAACACCGGUGGCGAAGGCGGCUUCCUGGACCAAUACUGACGCU